CCCAGACUCCUACGGGAGGCAGCAGUGGGGAAUAUUGCACAAUGGGGGAAACCCUGAUGCAGCGACGCCGCGUGAGUGAAGAAGUAUUUCGGUAUGUAAAGCUCUAUCAGCAGGGAAGAUAAUGACGGUACCUGACUAAGAAGCCCCGGCUAACUACGUGCCAGCAGCCGCGGUAAUACGUAGGGGGCAAGCGUUAUCCGGAUUUACUGGGUGUAAAGGGUGCGCAGGUGGCAGGGCAAGUCAGAUGUGAAAGCCCGGGGCUCAACCCCGGUAUUGCAUUUGAAACUGUCCGGCUAGAGUGCAGGAGAGGUAAGCGGAAUUCCUAGUGUAGCGGUGAAAUGCGUAGAUAUUAGGAGGAACACCAGUGGCGAAGGCGGCUUACUGGACUGUAACUGACACUGAGGCACGAAAGCGUGGGGAGCAAACAGGAUUAGAUACCCUCGUAAC
rnacentral:rRNA from 1 species